rnacentral:rRNA from 1 species
UACGUAGGUGUCGAGCGUUGUCCGGAUUUAUUGGGCGUAAAGCGCCCGCAGGCGGCCAGGCAAGUCCAGGGUGAAAUCUCCCGGCUCAACCGGGAGGGUGCCCUGGAAACUGCUUGGCUUGAGGCAGGGAGAGGGAUGUGGAAUUCCCGGUGUAGUGGUGAAAUGCGUAGAUAUCGGGAGGAACACCAGUGGCGAAGGCGGCAUCCUGGCCCUGUCCUGACGCUCAGGGGCGAAAGCGUGGGGAGCAAACCGG